GACGAACGCUGGCGGCGUGCUUAACACAUGCAAGUCGAACGGAAAGGCCCUGCUUUUGUGGGGUGCUCGAUUGGCGAACGGGUGAGUAACACGUGAGUAACCUGCCCUUGACUUUGGGAUAACUUCAGGAAACUGGGGCUAAUACCGGAUAGGAGCUCCUGCUGCAUGGUGGGGGUUGGAAAGUUUCGGCGGUUGGGGAUGGACGCGCGGCUUAUCAGCUUGUUGGUGGGGUAGUGGCUUACCAAGGCUUUGACGGAUAGCCGGCCUGAGAGGGUGACCGGCCACAUUGGGACUGAGAUACGGCCCAGACUCCUACGGGAGGCAGCAGUGGGGAAUAUUGCACAAUGGGCGGAAGCCUGAUGCAGCAACGCCGCGUGCGGGAUGACGGCCUUCGGGUUGUAAACCGCUUUCGCCUGUGACGAAGCGUGAGUGACGGUAAUGGGUAAAGAAGCACCGGCUAACUACGUG
rnacentral:rRNA from 1 species